rnacentral:rRNA from 1 species
ACUGCUAAUACCGCAUAACAUUGCCGAACGGCAUCGUUUGGCAAUCAAAGGAGCAAUCCGCUGAAAGAUGGGCUCGCGUCUGAUUAGAUAGUUGGUGAGGUAACGGCCCACCAAGUCGACGAUCAGUAGCCGGACUGAGAGGUUGAUCGGCCACAUUGGGACUGAGACACGGCCCAGACUCCUACGGGAGGCAGCAGUGGGGGAUAUUGGACAAUGGGGGAAACCCUGAUCCAGCGAUGCCGCGUGAGGGAAGAAGGUUUUCGGAUUGUAAACCUCUGUGGACAGGGACGAUAAUGACGGUACCUGUUUAGAAAGCCACGGCUAACUACGUGCCAGCAGCCGCGGUAAUACGUAGGUGGCGAGCGUUGUCCGGAAUUACUGGGUGUAA